rfam:Streptomyces rubellomurinus strain ATCC 31215 contig-131, whole genome shotgun sequence.
GCGCGAUUAGCUCAGCGGGAGAGCACUACCUUGACACGGUAGGGGUCACUGGUUCAAUC